CCUCGAAAUAAUUAUUUCGUUCCCUCGAUUUAGGAUAUCGAGCGAACGAAUUAAGUAUUUCGUUCCCUCGAAAUAAUCAUAUUAGAAAUCGAAAUACAAUUUCGUGAUUAAAGUCUAAAUCUCUGGCCCAUCAAAGCCAGUGAGGAGAGACGGACAUGCAGCUGUUUUAUAAUAGAUCCAUGCAGCUGCAGCAGCAGCAGCAGCAGCAGCACCGGGACCAGCUACAACAUCUUGGAGUGGAAGGGGCCGUCUAUGUGCUGGAGUUAACAGUGGCUGCAACGCUCUGACAUCCACGUUGACAUUAUACAGCAAUCUUACACAACCACACAGAUUCUUUUGCCGGAGUCCGAAGUUUCAUCUAUGGACGCAGCACCACAAACCAGCGGAUUGAAUCGUGGUGGGGGAUCCUGAGGAAACAAAGUGCACAGUUUUGGAUCAACGUUUUCCAAACCCUCUAAGAUGACGGCUACUUCUCUGGUGAUUUCUUGGAUAGGAGCCUGAUCCAAUUCUGCUUCCUAAACCUUGUUCAGGAUGAACUUGACGAAGUCGUGAGAACCUGGAAUUCACACAAGAUAAGAGCAAAGGCAGCUGAUGGUGUGAUUGGAGGUCGGCGGAUUUUGAUGUACACACUUCCAGGCAUGUUCGGCGCAGAGGACAAUCUCAAGCCCAUACACAUGAAUGAAUUGGCCCUUUGUAGGGAGGAGUGCACCCCCAAAAGCCAAUAUACAUGUGAUGAAACUGUAUUUGAUCUCUGCUGUCUUCUGAUGCAGGAAAGGGGAUGGGAUCCUCCUACAGAUGCAUUUUCCGCUGCUGAACUGUACACCUUAUUAAGAACUGAAAUACUGCAAAGUGUCUGAGGGUGGACAAUUCUCUCUGCACAAAGAAGAAUCAUUUGUACUGUACAAUACAGGACUGUCUCAGAAAAUUAGAAUAUUGUGAUAAAGUCCUUUUAUUUUCUGUAAUGCAAAAAUGUCAUACAUUCUGGAUUCAUUACAAAUCAACUGAAAUAUUGCAAGCC